AGUGUGUCCCAGCCCUUCUCUCUUCUCUGGCCUCUUGCCAGAAGGGGGCUUGCUGUAGCCCUGCACCUCCAGGGCACGUGGCCUUCAGGCCACCCGCCCUAGGCUUCCUGGCCUAGAUGCUCCUCCACGUGGCUGGUUCCUGGCACUAGCAGACAAACAGACCGCAUUCAAGCUUGAAGGCAGAUGCUUCAUUCUCCUCUCCACAAUCAAGUCCCUGAGCAACAUCCUCCACGCUGGGCAAGAAGUUGGCAAGUGUGUUCCUAGCAGCCUUACCACAGUGGUCCAAAGGUGGAAGCAGCCCGGGGCCUGUGGACAGCCAGCACCCAAACCUCCUGUAGACCUGAAGUCCAGUGCUCAUCAGAGAGAAUACAGCCUGAAUCGCUCCAGGCUCCGUCUCCUGGGAGCAGAGUACGGGGACAUCUGCUGUUCACUGGACGCUUGUGCCCCGAUCCACACGAAUUUGUGUGUUGGGAUUUGAGACCCAGCAUAAUUAAAAGUUACCUCACCAGUAAGUCCCUGAACUUGGACUUAUUUCCACCCUCCAGAACUGCAAGAAAUAAGUACCUGUUGUUUAGCAGCCAGGCAGUCUGUGGCACUGCAUUAUAGGAGCCUUAACUGAUGACACUGUUGGCUGUGCACACUCCCAGCCAACCCUCCCACCGGCCUGCAAGCACUGAAGGCCACAUCUGUGCUGUCACCCUCUGUGUCUGCACCCCUAGCCCACAGCACAGUGUGAGUGGUAGGGCAGGCUCUCGAGCGGUGCUGCCACGCUGACUCUAAUUCCCCUAAGCGUCCCUGCAACAAUACACAAAGAUGUUCUCUUUCACCAUCCGUCUCUCAUUUGCCUCAUGUGAGGUGCUGCAGCAGUGUUAUCAUUGUCUUUUUUCUUGCUUGCUCCUACCCCCUAAUCCAGGCUUCUUGGAGAGGUUAAGUUGCUGUUUAAUCAAAUGUAUUUCCCUUGCAACCUGUUCCUCAUAUCAUCUCUAACGAGCAGGUCACAGACUCUCUAUUUGCAGCUUUGCCUUCUGAGCCUCCACAGUGCAGUUCCUCCCCCUUGGGUAAUUUUCAGCUGUUUUGAGAUCUCAAACCAAUCCCCACCCCAAGCUCCAACAACCGCUCCCAGACACUUCACCAUUCACUAUUUUAUUUCUUUAAUUGGAUUUUAAUUUGUCUCACUUACUUGAAAAUUCCUUAUGCCAUGUUGAAAUUGCAAAUUGAAAUGACACACACCUAACUGAAGAAAAAGGAAACAGGGAAAUUACAAAGGACAGAAACAGGACACAAAGACAGAGGGUCAGAAAUAUGGCCCUAGCCCCAGCUUGAUUCUUGAUUAUUCUUAAACUUGAAACAUAUUUCAGAAAGUCCACUUAGCCCACUGAUAACUGAGGGAGGGUGUCUGGGUUUGAUGCCCAGGUAAGAAUCAGGCAACACCCUCAUUGAACACUGUUAUGGUAAGGAACUAUCUUGCCUUAUAAAAUAACCUGGCUCACCAGAAACUACCGCCACCACCGUGGGAAGUGGACAUCAAUGCCAGAACAAGCUUCCUCUAGAAGGAAGCCCUGGGAGAAACAAGUGUGUCUCAGGCAAGAUUCUCUGGAAGCCAGUGCUCAGAUGCAGUUGGAGUGAAGAUUGCUGAUGAGGGCUCAGCACCCGAAAGGUUGAGGAGGAGGAGUCAGGAUUGGGCAGAGGAACCAACCAAACUGUGUUGCAGGUGCCAUCAAGUCCUUCCUGUUGGAGUACCCGUGUCAGGCCAAAAUGUCAGGGCCCUUGCAUCCCUUUCCAUUCCCGCCGCUAUCAGCCACCAGAUGCAGAUUGCCUCAGGCAGGAUGGCCCUUCAGUGGCACCCCCAGAAGGAUCCGACAGAAGGAGCUGACUUUCCAUGUCUACCACGCAGCAGAAUUUACAGACUUGAGUUUUGACACUGAAUCUGUUGGAUUUGGUCGGGUUCAAGGUCAAGGGGAAGUGAACAGGGCUUUAACCUCCCAGAACAUUCUUUCCUCUUACGGAGGCCCAUUAGAGGAUCUGAGACUGUGGAAAUAAGGGAGAUGAACUCGGAGUGGAGUGAG